rnacentral:miRNA from 1 species
GAUUUGCAUUUCUAACAAGUUCCCAGGUGAUGCUGAUGUUGC